rnacentral:misc_RNA from 1 species
AACGCACGAGACCUGCGGACCUGCGGAGGGAUCAUUACCGAGUGCGGGCCCUCGCGGCCCAACCUCCCACCCUUGUCUCUAUACACCUGUUGCUUUGGCGGGCCCACCGGGGCCACCUGGUCGCCGGGGGACGUCGUCUCCGGGCCCGCGCCCGCCGAAGCGCUCUGUGAACCCUGAUGAAGAUGGGCUGUCUGAGUACUAUGAAAAUUGUCAAAACUUUCAGCAACGGAUCUCUAGAUC